rnacentral:lncRNA from 1 species
AUGACCAUCAACGCGCGCACUGUAAACAGAUUACUCUGGUCGGCGCCUGGCGCACAAACUGCGCGGAAGGCAGGGCGCGUUCCGAGGCCAUAUGCGGCAGCAGCCAGCCCGCUUCUGCUCGGUCCUUCUUCUCUUUUCUUCCCUUUUUUUCUGCGGACAUUUACACACGCCGUUCUCCGAGACUGCUGGGCGGCGGCGGAGUUUUACCAGAUGAAGAGUCGUGUUUUAUUUUCUACUCGGACCUCCUCUGAGAUCUUUGGUCCCCACGGAGCUGCACUGAAGAAGCUUGCAAUAUCACGUAACGGUGAGAUGACCAAGUUCAGGGCCUGCACGGCUGCUGCAGCUCAGCGUUAGAGCCUUGGAUCAAUGGAAUACUGUUGGGGAUACAGCGGACCACACCCACACGCCGACCAAACCCGCUCAUUGGAUAUCGUAUGGACGUCUUGACCACUGCCGUGGCUCUCAUGCAAAUGGAGGAGGUAAUUUCAGUCCUUUAAGUGAAAUUUGAUUUGUGUUGAGAGCUCUUGUUACUUUUUCUUAAUGUAAAAUGGUUUUGAUUAAUAGUGUGGGAGUCCGUGGAGAAAUGUUAUCAAGUGUAGCAGUCAAAUGAAUAUCUCUUCCACUGGAUUAGCGCUGCUACUGUUUGCCAUUUGAGGCAGAACAGCUGCGAUCUUCAAUACGUCCCACUUGGACACACACAUUUAUAUGACACUUAUUCCUUUCCACCUCUCAAAGCCUCUCUUGAACGCUCUGCUGCAACCAAGGAGGAGCUUUGUUUUCAGCUUUGGACGGCUAACACCGAAACAAGCAAUUCCGCACGCUACUAUUUUAAAGAGCGACAGCAUGUCACACCUAAAACAAACAAUUCACUUUUAAGGUCUUAUACUACAAUAUUUAAUAAUUGCCAGACGAGGCAAAAAGCUACCCAUGGAUUUCAAUAGCUAAGUUAGAUCUUUUACUCAAUAAAAGAAAAUAUAUAGAAUUAAUGUGCAUGUAUAGGAAGCACGCCCUUCCCCACAGCCAGCGCUGUCCAAUGAGUGUACCGGCCCGAUCUAUUCAGUCCAAAAAGGAGAAUAUAACAUACAGUAGGACACACCCUAUGAACUAAAAAUACAAGCACACAAAGACGCUUAUCAGUAAAAGGGCCUUUACUAUUGUAUCCACAUACCCUGUCGCUGGUACGUGCUCCUCUAAAUGUCUUCGACACUUCACCUCACCUACUCGGAGCGGCGGCGGCUCUGCGCCCUGACAAAAUGAAAAACAAUCUGAGGAAGCAGGGAACAAUCCGAGGCAGGCUCCAGCGGGCUGCCAUAAAAAAGAGGGGCUGCCUCUCCAGCCUCUCUCCCUCAUGCCUUCAGCUUUAACUCUAUGGGCUGAUGAAAGAUCAAUGGGCCGGCUGGGCCGCCGCCGCCGCCACCGCCGCCGCCGCGCCUGCUGUCCGCCGCUGUGCCGAGAAGAGAGCCAAUUACAAAACACCAGAAGCAAAUCGGGGGAAGAAUGCAAAAAACUUUGGCCUUUACAAAUGCUAACUCGGUUAUUAGUAAAAUGGUUUGUCGAGUGUGUGCGCGCGUGUGUGUAUGUGUCUGUGUAUUUGUAAUGUACACACUGUACAAAUAGG